rnacentral:rRNA from 1 species
UACGAAGGGGGCUAGCGUUGCUCGGAAUUACUGGGCGUAAAGCGCACGUAGGCGGCUUUCUAAGUCGGGGGUGAAAUCCUGGAGCUCAACUCCAGAACUGCCUUCGAUACUGGAGAGCUCGAGUCCGGGAGAGGUGAGUGGAACUGCGAAGUGUAGAGGUGAAAUUCGUAGAUAUUCGCAAGAACACCAGUGGCGAAAGGCGGCUCACUGGCCCGGUACUGACGC